rnacentral:rRNA from 1 species
GGAGGGUGCAAGCGUUACUCGGAAUUACUGGGCGUAAAGCGCGUGUAGGCGGGACCGCAAGUCAGAUGUGAAAUCCCCGGGCUCAACCCAGGAACUGCAUCUGAAACUGCGGACCUUGAGUACUGGAGAGGGCGGCGGAAUUCCUGGUGUAGAGGUGAAAUUCGUAGAUAUCAGGAGGAACACCGGUGGCGAAGGCGGCCGCCUGGACAGUCACUGACGCUGAGACGCGAAAGCGUGGGGAGCAAACAGGAUUAGAUACCCUGGUAGUCCACGCCGUAAACGAUGGGUGCUAGGUGUCUCGGGUAUUGACCCCUGAGGUGCCGUAGCUAACGCGUUAAGCACCCCGCCUGGGAAGUACGGUCGCAAGACUA